CAAGAGCUCUCUGACGGGGCAGACUCAGCACUGGAGGGAGAUGAGCCUCAGCCCGGCUUCCCCUCAUAAACAACUGUUUCCCCACUUGUGAUGUGGGGUGGCCUGAGGUUAUGACAGUAUUCUGAGCAGAACUCUGCCCACAGGGGAACCCAACUGCCAUUCCUGCCAGGAAAACCGUACCCUUCUCUCGUUGGACUGCCUGGUUUUCUAAAAUUGGCUUUCUAACCCCCACCUCCAGAGUCAGCCCUGGUGUUCCCCUCAGCGGUGGUGAGUUGGUGAGGUGGCGUUCCAGCUACCACAGAGGUGACCACAGGAGGAGGCACUAACACAGGGAAAAGAGAGGCCGUUGGGAACAUGGCUUUCAGAUGGUGGCAUUUAGCUGAUGCAGACCUCGGUGCUGCUCAUUGACUGGCUCCGUUUGGGGAACAGGAAAGUGGGACUCUGCCUCACACCUCCGAGGCAUGGUGACACAUGACUGUCAGCCUAGCACUUAGGAGGAAGACU
rnacentral:lncRNA from 1 species